UACGGAGGGGACUAGCGUUGUUCGGAAUUACUGGGCGUAAAGCGCACGUAGGCGGAUUUGUAAGUCAGGGGUGAAAUCCCGGGGCUCAACCUCGGAACUGCCUUUGAUACUGCAAAUCUCGAGUCCGGAAGAGGUGAGUGGAAUUCCUAGUGUAGAGGUGAAAUUCGUAGAUAUUAGGAAGAACACCAGUGGCGAAGGCGGCUCGCUGGUCCGGUACUGACGCUGAGGUGCGAAAGCGUGGGGAGCAAACAGG
rnacentral:rRNA from 1 species